rnacentral:rRNA from 1 species
GACGAACGCUGGCGGCGUGCUUAACACAUGCAAGUCGAACGAAGUGGCGAACGGGUGAGUAACGCGUAAUCAACCUGCCCUUCAGAGGGGGACAACAGUUGGAAACGACUGCUAAUACCGCAUACUGAAGGAGGGGCUUGCGUCUGAUUAGCUAGUUGGAGGGGUAACGGCCCACCAAGGCGAUGAUCAGUAGCCGGUCUGAGAGGAUGAACAGCCACAUUGGGACUGAGACACGGCCCAGACUCCUACGGGAGGCAGCAGUGGGGAAUAUUCCGCAAUGGGCGAAAGUCUGACGGAGCCACGCCGCGUGAGUGAUGACGGCCUUCGGGUUGUAAAGCUCUGUUAAUCGGGACGCGGUACCGGAAUAGAAGGCCACGGCGAACUACGUGCAAGCAGCCGCGUAAUUC